rnacentral:ribozyme from 1 species
AAAGAAAUAGAAUGAAAGUGAAGUGAAGGAGAUAAAAGAAAAGAACAAGAAGAAGAGAAUCAACAGUAACACGGAUUAGACCCGUCAAGUGGCAUUGUAUUGCAUUUUUUUUUACCUC